CACCUCUGCGCAUGCGUCUGGUCCGGCCGUUCGAGAGAAAAAGUCCUCCGUCUUUUGGUUUUCGAAAUUAACAAGAUAUGCCCAUAUUUGCCCGGAAGCGUGUGACACAUUCUCCCCUGCUUCUCUUUCCUUUGAUUUAUUCUUAUUUGGCCGAACGACUGGGACGACGCCGUGGGUCGAGCCUGGCAUGGACGAAGACAGCCAUGCCUGUCAGGCCCCCAGCCUCACGCCGCUAUAAAUAGCCGGGGACGUGGGGUUGUCGGUCUCUUUGUGCGAUGGUCUCGCUGCACCGGUUUGGGGAGUGCUGCUUUGCCCCCCUCGGGGCUGUCGGGCUCCCUCCCCGACACCCGGGGAGGCGAUGGCCCGGGCUUCCUGCGAGUGGGUGUCUCGGGGCCCUGCGGGUGAGGGGGCCGCAGUCUCGGGCUGAGCAGGAUGACCUACCGUUACAGACUAGAGUUUCUGACGCGCCCGUGACGCCGCUCUUCGGAACUGACCCAGCCCAGGGCCGGGGGGACGCGGCUAGCGUCUUCCCGGCCUCUGCUGACUCCCUGUUUCUUCCCAGGUCCCUGGUCCCCGCAGGCGUGUCCGCAGCGCCGCGAGGGUUUCUUAAGAUGUAUGCCGGAGUGUUAACCGUUGAAUAAAGGUGUUAACGCAGAGGAUUAUCCUAUCUGGUGUUGGGCAGAUCCUAGGAACUUCCAUCUAACCUUCUUGCAUUAACUUGUAUGAGCAGCAGCUGUCAACUUACUGGAAAAAUGAAACUGCCCAGGAAUUUUGAGAUGCUUAAAUAUUUUUAGAUCAAUGAGACUUCUUUAAUAAAAACAUUUGUUUUUAUUAAAAAGAUUCUAAU
rnacentral:lncRNA from 1 species